rnacentral:rRNA from 1 species
CCGGCUAACUACGUGCCAGCAGCCGCGGUAAUACGUAGGGCGCAAGCGUUAUCCGGAAUUAUUGGGCGUAAAGAGCUCGUAGGCGGUUUGUCGCGUCUGCUGUGAAAACCCGAGGCUCAACCUCGGGCCUGCAGUGGGUACGGGCAGACUAGAGUGCGGUAGGGGAGAUUGGAAUUCCUGGUGUAGCGGUGGAAUGCGCAGAUAUCAGGAGGAACACCGAUGGCGAAGGCAGAUCUCUGGGCCGUAACUGACGCUGAGGAGCGAAAGGGUGGGGAGCAAACAGGCUUAGAUACCCUGGUAGUCCACCCCGUAAACGUUGGGAACUAGUUGUGGGGUCCAUUCCACGGAUUCCGUGACGCAGCUAACGCAUUAAGUUCCCCGCCUGGGGAGUACGGCCGCAAGGCUAAAACUCAAAGGAAUUGACGGGGACCCGCACAAGCGGCGGAGCAUGCGGAUUAAUUCGAUGCAACGCGAAGAACCUUACCAAGGCUUGACAUAUACGAGAACGGGCCAGAAAUGGUCAACUCUUUGGACACUCGUAAACAGGUGGUGCAUGGUUGUCGUCAGCUCGUGUCGUGAGAUGUUGGGUUAAGUCCCGCAACGAGCGCAACCCUCGUUCUAUGUUGCCAGCACGUAAUGGUGGGAACUCAUGGGAUACUGCCGGGGUCAACUCGGAGGAAGGUGGGGAUGACGUCAAAUCAUCAUGCCCCUUAUGUCUUGGGCUUCACGCAUGCUACAAUGGCCGGUACAAAGGGCUGCAAUACCGCAAGGUGGAGCGAAUCCCAAAAAGCCGGUCCCAGUUCGGAUUGAGGUCUGCAACUCGACCUCAUGAAGUCGGAGUCGCUAGUAAUCGCAGAUCAGCAACGCUGCGGUGAAUACGUUCCCGGGUCUUGUACACACCGCCCGUCAAGUCAUGAAAGUCGGUAACACCUGAAGCCGGUUGCCCAACCCUUGUGGAGGGAGCCGUCGAAGGUGG